ensembl:lncRNA
CCGGGCGGGCCGGGCCGGGGCGGCUCCGGUACCGGGGGCGGGCGCCGCUCUUUGACCCUCGGGUUGGUCGGGGAGCCCGGUUUUGUCGGGAAAGCCGGAUCCGCGCCGGGAUGCGGACAAAGACACGGAGCAGCUGUUCGGGAAUAAAGCUGAAAUAGUAGAACCUGGGAGAGAAGUUAGCUUGGGGGAGCUAUUAUUUUCGCCGCAAAACCCUCGGGAGGUAUUAAACAGCUGCAUCCAAACGACGGAGCGACCCAAAGGCCGGGAUCCCACCGCCUCGCCGUCGAGCAGCGGGCGCGUGGCUCAGCGCACGGCCGCAGGUGGAGCAGCCCCGGCCCCGCAGCCCCUCUCCAAUGAUGGGUGUAAUGUAACGUGGCUGCCGCGGGACACAACGCCGGGACGCGGGCGCUGGGUCUGGCUGUCGGUGACGUCUGGCUGGCUGGGUGCUGGCUGUAGGGUUCGGGGGAUGGAAGGAAGGGGGUAAAAAUCAAUCUUUGCCUCCACUAGGUUCCUCUGCAAAGAGCAGCGUAGCAGAGCGGUUGGGAGAGCUGUGCUGGACAGAGGACGGCCGGCCGCGAGCGGAGCCUCCCACCGGCGAGCAUUGCCAGGCGAGGAGAGAAAACCUGGGCAGCCUUAAAACACUCAGAGUGUAAUGUGACGCUUCCAAACCUUUGCAGCCUGCGGUAAGCCGAGGGAAGCAAUGAGUAACCUUUGCUUUCAAGUGAAAACGGUGCGGUGGUAACAUCCCGAUGGAGCCCGUGCGCAUCGGGCAUUGUUUGGAAUUCUUGCCAUAUUUUAACCUCUGCCGUGUUGGCUGCUCGCAGGAACAAGCUGAGCGCUCCGAGAUAACACUGCGUUUUGUCAGAUGCUUUAUAACGUUGUUUAGAGACGUGCUCGGAUCUAUUUAGUGCUUCAUAAAUAUGAAUAAAGCGUUUACAAAAGGCACGUCACCGCAGAAGUAACCGUGGAUUAUGCCAGCUGCUCGCAGUUUACACGUUACAAAUUUCCUAAACUGUUCUGAACUACAUUUUACCGGGGGCGUUUUUACCCGCGAUUAAAUACAACUCAGCGCUGCCCAGCAAAUAUCUCUGUUGAUUUAUGUAUAGGAAAUCGGGGAAUCAGCAUUGGCCCAAACCCCAAAUUACUGCUGAAGCAGUUUCAAAUAUUUAUGGACCUGUUAUGGGAGGAGAGAGGAAUGUCAUGUUUUUUUUUUUCCCAAGGCCUCGCUGUGCGCAGACCGAUUUUCUCAGCCGUUUCCGCCCCGGGUGCGGGGUGCCCUGCAGCCCCCCCAGCACAGAUGGGUUUGUGAUGUGAUUGCUGUGCUGUUGGCUGCAGGACAGUGCGGGUUGCAGCCCUGGGUUGCUGUAGGCUCAGCCAUGGUAGUGUGGUUGCAAUCCUGCUGCCCUCCGGCCCUCAGUGCUUUUGUUUGUCCUGGAAAAACGCAGCGCGGUCCCGCAAGGCCUUGCGUUUGUGCUGGGCAUGAAUUUUGCACUGUCCGUUUUAUUUUACCCUCUUGUUUUGUGUUGUUGAUUUUGGUUUGCUUUUUUUUUUUUUUUUUUUUUUUCUGGGUUCCCUCCUAGCACACACGCAGUCUUCCUCAGGGGUCCCCAAAAGGAGUUGUGCCACUCCCUGAGCAUCCCCCAGCCCAGCAUGGUGUUGGGAUGCAGGCAGAAGCCUCGGUGGGUGCAGGGCUGUGCCAGGAGCAGCCACCGUUUCUACUGCAGAUGUGAACAGGGGGUGCCCAGCUGGGUGGAAGGGCGAAAGUCUGCUCGAGGAGCCUGAAGACGCACCAUCCCCACUUAUCGCCCCAGAGGCAGGCUAUCUAGCUGACAAGCUGUGCGGUGAAAAACCAGGUGCCCAUGUGCCUGCUGCUCACCCAAGGCCUGAAAGGGAUCAGCUGCUCAUUUUGCAGAGCAAAGUAAGAUGGCAACAAGGAGUGCUUUCCUGGUGCCAGAUUUCAUCUGAAAUUGGUCCUAUGCUGAACAAGUUGGGGCCACUGAGAAGCAGAAAGUGGAUGAAGCAAGAUCCUAAAAGGGAAAGACCAAUGUUUUAUUUACUACAAUAAACCCUAAACCCAGGUUUAUCACUAACUAGUCGUAUUUUCUGUUUGUGUUUGUCUUUGUGGUUUGACAUUUGCUCAUGCUGUGAUAGCUUCAUCAAAAUACAUUUUUUAGAAAAAGCA